UUUUUUUUUUUAUUUACUGUCUUUUUAAUUCACUGUCCUGCAGUGAAUUUCUUGUGUGCUAUUGUAGCUUUCCCAUUUGAUUAUUUUCCCAAGAACUUCCAACAGUGUGAAUGAUCAUUUACUGAGCACAACUUCCCAUAUACUAUUGGGGUAUUUUGAAUAACAUUCCCCAGCGGUGUUUAUUAGCAAACAUUUGGACAGGGCUAUUCUCCAGACAAAAGUAUUUUAUCUGAGAUACUUCUCCUACAUCCAAGGACAGACUCCAGAUAGAUAAGCAUUAGCUCAUCUCACCUACAGAUAAGAGAAAAUAACCACUAACAAUUAAAUCCUUAACUCCUUACCUUCACCCUGGUUUCUUAACACAAGACCCUAAUUUAAGAGAUUUACUGCUUACAAUUCUGGGAUGGUGUUUGGGCCAUCUGCUAGUUACUGGGAUAAGGUAAAUAUUCCCACUGACCCAAGGAGACAAUGGACAAGGCCAGGCGGAUGAUAGGUGCCAAGCUUCAUUUCUUGUGUGAAUUAAGCUUUUGCCCUCCCUCUUUUAUCUCAGCCCAGGUGCUAUACCAAGUUCUAAAGAUUCCCUCUUAGCAAUUAACUCAGAGCGAAAGUGCUUUUACUAACCAAAUACUACACAUUGUGAUGCAGGUUGCCUAGCAACUGAGUAAACUUCCCCUGCCCUACCAGAAAGCCACAUAGCCAGAGAAUUGCUGAUUGUUAUGUGUAUAUAAACUGGAAACUUUAGAGACUUGGGGGAGAACAAAGAUGGAAAGAACUAAGAUAGAACAGUGAGAAAACAACAGAAGGGACAGAGAGGAGCUAAGUAUGAAAACAUAAAAGAAGCUGUGUAGAUAGAAUUGACUUAGAAGAAUAAAGUGAAUGGGCUAUAGAGCUCGGUAUGCUUAGAUUAUUUUGAUAUCCCUCAGAUUAAUUUCUUCGCCACUAGUAGUGUCUACUCUGGACCCUGGGAGAAAUCUGCACCAGCAGGACCACCAUGAGACAUGAUUAAGGAUACCCAGUACUGCUUCGUCUCCAAGGAACAGUCUUUUCAGAAGAUCCUGUCUAAUAUGGAGCACAGCCUCCCCAGUCUAGACUUGUACCAGCUUGUUGCCUCUGCACCUGGAAAGAACUCACUCCCUCUCUGCAGUCUCUCACACACCUGGCCCUGGUGAUGACAGCAGCAUCUCACAGAACGAUGUGGUCUGCAAGUGAGUGCUCACCGAUACCCUGCAUGCUGUACCACAGCACCACUCCAGCUCAUUUACUUCCUCUUCCCAGGCACGCACUUGGACACAGCGGCCCAC